CGCUUUUUGUUUUUGGCGAAUGCUUAGAAGCUUCAAGUUGCGGACACUGCGGUGGGCCAGGGCUUGAUGACAUUUGUUGCCCAGCUGCUGGUGCUACCGCGACGUACUUGGAGCAACGCUUCUGCUUAUUUCCUCUGCCUGCACCUUAUAUUUGUUGUGUUUAUCGAGACCUGGCCUGUCUCUGCCUCGUUGAAGACAAAUGGACACAAGUA
rnacentral:lncRNA from 1 species